rnacentral:misc_RNA from 1 species
CCGUCCAACUCACGGCCCCGCCUCGGCGGGGCACGUGGCCGUGGCCGCCCUUGCGCUGCUAACGCGUCGCAUCGAUGGCUAGAAGACCAUGGACGGACUGUCCCCGAUCGUGUGGUCUGGAGGGUUCCGUGGCUAAGCAGGGGGUUCUGUCCCGCUCUGCCGCCGCCCCUCAGUUGCCACAGGUUGGGGGCGUGUCUGCCCGCAAAGACAGCAACAUGUGGUCUCUGCGGCCCCUCGGCCUAAGAGGCGCACGCCAUACUGU